UGAUUCUGGGUCUUGAUCAUUUUCUUUUGUGGUCAGAAAAUAGUGGAUAACAUAGACUAUACAUCUUUGUCUCUUCUGCAUUUUCCAUGAACUUUUCCUAGUCAGAAAUAUUAGUGUCCACGUAAAGUUGUCCCCAGAAAAUGAUGAUAUCCAAGGCCAGCAACCUCCUUCUUCUUCCGUCAUUGCUUCACUUGAGUUAUCUUGCUUUUGGGAGCCAGGACCUGAGGGCUGCACCCGAAUCUCUCCAGACACUACUGGCAGUGACAAAACAUGGCAUCCAUGUCCGAAACCGCUUCCUAUUCAGAUGCACUCCUGCGCGGCCUACGGGACGCUGAGCGGUGACGAUGAUGGAGUGAGGCGUGGACCACAGAGCUAGUCCGGGAUCGCGAGUUCGACUGCGGGCGCCGCUCUGCGAGGUCACACGGCUGCGCCCAUUGCAGAGUACCGGACAGGAGCGGCUAUAAUGGCUGUGGAAAUCACUCUUGGCCACCUCAGUGCCUUUCUCUCUUUGUUGCCAGGGACACUCAACAGCGCUGGGCUAACCAUGUAAGCUUUAAGGGUCGGGUGCCCAGCUAAGGCCAACACAGCGCAGUGGCAUUCUAUUCAGCCGGUUGGGGGAAAAAAGAUGGCGGUGCCAGUUGUUCCGAUAGUAUUAAAGCACAUAAUUUAAUUCGUAUCUGGGUGACCCACAGCCACCUAUACUGUCAGUGACUUAUAUGCAACUGAAACGUAUCUGCAGUUUUAUAUAUUGGUAUGCUUAAAAAUAUAUGUUGUUUUGCUUAAAAACAAGAUAGUUCUUGUUAGAGUUAUUGCACUUGAGUUGUUAUCAAUACCCUAUAAAAUUUGUGAUAUAAAACAUAGGCACUUAGAUAUUGCUUUAGAAAUAGAGUUUUGUAUCACUGAGAACACAUUUUGGAAACUUUGCUAUGAGACUCUUUCAAGUAAAUAUCCAUAUAUUGAAGAUUCCUUAAUUUGACUUAGUGUGACAAAAAGCAAUGGCAAUAUAAUAUUCUAAAAUGACUUUGGAAUCAAGAAAAAUUGAAGUUGAGGUAGAGUAAUACCUCACAAAAUAAUCAAAAGAGAAAUAAAAAUAUAGGAUAACAGAUAGUAUCUGGAAGAAGAUGCCAUCAAAUAAAUCAUCUGUGCUGUAAUAUUACAAAUGUACUAGGUAAUAACAUAUAAAAACAUACUACUUUUUUUUUUGGCUAAGGAGUAGGAUUUUAACUGAAGUGCAGGAAAUGAAAAAAAAAAACUGAUAAAAGUCUUGAAAGAUGAUUGCCAUAGAAAAGUAAGUAUGGUUUUCUUGAACGUUACCAAAUAAGAAGGGUAUUAUCAGUAUGCUGUUGUAACAUGAUAUCCAGACUGCCUGCAAGACUCAGCCUUGUGCAAGAGAGCAUACGAUCAGAAAUAGGAGACAGCUGGUGGAAUAUUGAACCAGAAAGUGAUGCCAAGACUGAAGCAUUAGUAAUACAUUGCUGAAAUCUGAGACUUUGAAAUAAUCAAGUAAAGGAGAUUAAAACAAAGGGGUGUUAGCACAGAAAGAGAAGAAAUUGAAGAGUGAAAUAAAGAGUUGGAGGAAAUGUGAGAGAGUAGUUAUCCACAGGUAUAGCUGUUGAAAUAUUGGGGUUGCUUGCAGGUGUGUUUCUAAAGGACCAAUUUUAAUGAAAAAGAGGUUAUUAACUCUGAUAUGGAUUAAAUCAACGAAUCAGUAAGACUUAUUUUUCUCAUUGUAAAGCAGAGGUUGUAUUACAUACCUUACUGAGUUUUGUGAAAAUUAGAAUUUAUUUAUAGCUCCUCAAUAUUGAUAGCUAUUGUUAAGUGUAUGACUUCAUUGAUCAAAAUAUUCACCAAAAAUAUUCAUAAAUAUCUACCAUCCAUCAGAUACUCCAUUAGUGCUAGGGGUUUGAAGAUAAAUAAAAUGAAGGCCUACCUCUCACAGGGUCCUAGUCCAGCAGGGAGAGACAGAUAAAAAGGGUGAAUUGAAGAAAUAAUAAUAUGCAACAAAAUACUAUUACAUAGGGUCAAUACUAGAAGUCCGUAUUUGGUGCUAUAAAGGUACAAAACAGGAAGUAGUCAACUUUACAUUGGGCAAUAGAGCUUUGAAAUUAACCUUCAAUGCAGUCUUACAAAGUUAAUUGUAAUGGAGAGGGGCUCUUUACAGUAGGCUGUGUGCAAAAAAACCUAUAAGCUUAGAGGCAUGCAAUGGCCUCAUAAAUUUGGGAACUAUAAUCAGCAUGAUGAAGACGAAGAAUGGAUGUGACUGAGUAAAGCAAAAGAUAAGAAAGUAAUGUAGAGCUAGGGGUCAUAUUAUUCAGGUUUUUGUGUGAUGUAUUAAAUAGGGCUGCAUUUAAAACUAACCAUGGUUAGCAGUAUGCACUAAGUGAGGAUAGAGAAGUAGAUAUGAAUAUACAGCAACUCCACUUUCCUAAGACUGCAAGAGUUGCUUUAUUCCCCUCAUUAGGGCACUUCCAUCUAAAUCACACAGAAUUUGUUGUGGCAGAAGUGACAUUAUGUGACAUUUGCUGUCCCUCCGGAUAGGUUUAACUAAAUUCACACAUAUCCUCUGACUUUGUAUCACAUGCACCAUGAGGGCUUCCUUAAAAUGAUUCAAUUAACCAUGAACCUACGUUUCCUGGGCAAAGAUAGCUUUCAAAGGGACACAUCAAUGUAAUUAACCACUAUAAACCUAACUUUAAACAUCUAGGUAGUAAAUAUAUAAUGCUUGACUAUAGCAAUAUGCUUUGGCCCUAUUUGGACAUUUUCUUAAGAGUUAAGGAUGUAGAUAAAACUCAAAAGAUAAAACUUGAAAAUAAAGUGAGAUCCAAAACUGAGAGUGAAAAUUUGCUGAAAAAUUAUAGGAUAUAUAAACUAUGGAAAUCAUUUAGAUACAUUUUUAAACUGGAAAUAUAAGACAUUUCUAUGAGUAGGUAUUUUGUUAAUCUUAAAAGGAUUCUAAUUACUCAUCUCUUCAAAACUUAUUCAUUAUGCACCUAUCACUAAGUGCCAGAUGUUGAGUGAUGCUGAUUUGACAAAACAUGAGCCUGCUCUUGCCUUGGACCCUCUACUUAAAAUGCACUUGUUUCACGUAGCUACAUUUGUAAAUCUCUUCAGAUCUCUCUCUUAGGUCACCUUCUCAGAGAGACUUUUCCUGACUGCUUACAGUAACAAUGACCACUGUAUAUACUCAGCCCCAUCACUCUUCAUUCCUCUUACCCUGCUUUGUUUUCCUUCAUAGUAAUCAUCUGGCAUUCUAUAUAUUUUCUCGUUUGUUUUUAUUAUGUCUUUCCUCCCUGGAAUUCACAGUGUGGAUGUUGUUUUCACACUGUUCUUUCUUUCCUUUCAUAUAGCUAAAAGGAAGACAUUGGCUCUCUCCUUUCUGAGACUAGUCAUUUCCUCUGGAUCUUGGAUCCCAUUUUCUUUCAGACUGAGGUCCCUCCCAAGAACAGGUGGUCAAGUGGCAAAAGGAGAGGCAAGGAAUUAAAGUAACUAAAGAGUGAUUAAAUAUGUUGAGUCUAAAAAAAGAUUAGGAUCCACACAGUUAUAAUGGAGGGAGAAUCAGAUAUAAAUAAUUGAAGUAAAAUAUUUUUGUGAGCUCUCCAUGAAUUAAAGUAUAAGCGGAAAUGUGACACUUUCUUACAUUCUCAUUGUAAUUUUCUUAUUUUGUCUAAAAGAUAAAAUGUUUUUGUUUUUAUUUUAAAUAAUGCUUUUCUUUACCAUGUUGCUAUCAUGGAAGUGUGAGAUGAAACUCUACCUACUCCAGACUGAACUUUCAGAGCAUGUUCUUUUUUUUUUUUUUUUUUUGAGAUGGAGUCUCUGUCACCCAGGCUGGAGUGCAGUGGCAUGACCUUGACCCACUGCAGCCUCUGCCCCACCGGGUUCAAGCAAUUCUCCUGCCUCAGCCUCCGUCUUUUUCUAUUACUAAUUAAAUCAACACUCAAUUCCCUUAUUGUUUCUGAAGAUUUCAAGAGAAGCCUGAUAUGGGGCACAAAAGUGCAAGACAUUUGGUUAGUGACUCCUAGAUGAUCGUUGUAUUAGUUAGAAAUAAAACAACUGAUAUGGAGGGUGGGCAUGCUGGUGUUAACUGAGUUAUCUCAUGAGUGUCCUCAGCCAACUUCAACACAUCUCAAGAUACAUUUGAUCAUGAGAUGUGUUGGGAAAUCAUCCUUAAUGCUUUAUGUAUAAUGUGUUGAUGCCUUAAAGUAUAAGGAGAAUGGGGGAAAUGUCAAUUGGAUUUGAAAAAAAACCAGGUUCCUGGACACCAUUACUGCUUUAAGAGUUUUGUACUUAGCAAGCCUAUGUCCUCUGUUCUGUUUUGUCACAUCAAUAUAUCAAGGAGUUAUGUUGAAUUCCAAUGGAGCAACUACUGGAGUUGGCUCACUACUUUUGCAAGUAGACUAUUACAUUAUUAUCAGUCUAACUAGCUGCCUGGCCAUGGAAGGUCCUACAAAUAUUCCCUGCAGGAGAAGGGUUGGAUAUAGUUUUCACCUCUGAAGAUGAACCUAGACUUACCUCUCUGUCAAUGUAGUAGACAAUUUUUUAAUCUCUGUAGGAGCAAUUAUCUUUCUUCCUUCUAAUUUCUGUUAAAGGUGGGUUAUUUUCCUUUACAACUAAAUGGAACAAAAUAUUUCUGGAAUACUGAAAUCCUCUGCCAGAUCAGUUCUGCCUUUUCUGUUCCUUGUUGGAAAAAAAUGCAUCUUCUCUUCAGUAGACAGCUUUCCUCCUCUAAUUUCUCUCAUAGGUAAGAACAAACUUUAGGAUAUUUUAUAUUGUUACCUUUUACUUCCCUUUUUUUACUUAAUGGAAAUCUCAUUUGACUCAACCUCACAUACUGCUUUAUCCCACUAAAAGGAUAUUGAGCAUUUAACACAUAAUGUUGGCAUCACUGAGCUCCUUAGGGCUCUAUAUGGUAGAUUUCAGUUAUUUAUUGCUGUACAACAACUGUCCCAAACUUACUGCUAUAAACAAUAAUAAUCAUUAAAUUGCUAAGAAAUAUGCAGUUCAGGCAGAGCUCAGUGAAUGCAUCAUACCUCCUGCUCAAAAUAGUGUCAUAAGAGGUAGUUUGGAGAUUGGAGGUUGGAGUUGAUCUCAAGCCUUGCUCAGGUUCUGGAGGUCAGGAUUGAUUAUCAGCUGGGACCUCACCUAGGGCCAUCAGCCAGAACAUGUAUACACAACCUCUCCUAACAGCAUGGUGGCUAGGCUCAAAGGACAAACAUCUGAAGAUACAGUAAAUGGAAGCUGCCAGUUUCUUAAAGCCUAGACCCAGAAAAUGGCAGUGUAUCACUGUGUUUCCCACUGGUCCAAUAAUUGUAGAGCCUGGCUUCCAGGGGAGAGGGAGGAGGAAUGACAGAAAAUAUUGAGUCCAUGUGCUAUAACUGGUGAAGUGCUUACUCUAGUAACAUAUUAUUUAUAUUCCUCUUACAUACUAAAUACACUAAUCCAAUGACAAUACACUAGUCCUCUUUAUUCAGCCAUAGUUUCACUUUCUGAGGUAUCAUUUAUCCAUGGUCCACUGUGGUUAGAAUAUAGGUGAGUAUAGUAUUAUAAGAUAUUUUCAGAGAGAGAGAGAGAGGGAGAGAGAGAAACCACAUUCACAUGACUUUGAUUAUAAUUUAUUAUUAUAAUUGUUCUUUUUUAUCAUUAGUUAUUGUUAAUCUCAUACUGUGCCUAAUUUAUAAAUUACAUUUUAUUAUAGGUACGCAUAUCUAGAAAUAAACAUAAUAUGCACAGUGUUUGGUAACAUCUGUGGUUUCAAGUAUCCACUAGGGGCUUGGAAUGUAUCUCUCAUGGAUAAGGGAAGGCUACUGUAUUCCCCCAAAAGUCUCAUUCUUUUAAAGUACUUGUCUCAGGGUUGAGUUUCAGAAUUUUGUCAUUUUUAUCAAGUCCAGGUAUAAAUAAGACUCCUUCAGUGUGUUCUCUGGUAUAACUGCUCAAAAACACUUCCUCUUGACACUAUGACCCCAGGAUUAGAGAGACAAGUUAUCUGCUCCCUACAUACCCAUUAUACACUGACAUUCAAAAGGACAGAAGCCAGAGGCAUCAAGCAUUCUCUGACCCAUUGAAGUUCUGAAGUGAGUAAUACACAUACAUAUUUCCAAUUUCUUGACUCAGGACCUGUGAAUGAUUCUUUCUUACUUCUGCUUUUUACGUUAUUGGUUCUACUUUUUGAAUCAUCCUAUUAUUUAAUAAAACUACGAAGAAGUUGCCUUUUCAAUCUAUUCAUAAGAAAUUUGGCAUCCAAAGGUCUCUUUUCACUUUGUACUGUCUCUGUCUCUUUUAAUCCAAGCUGAUCAUGCUUCUAUCAGUACAGUUUUCUUUAAAAAGAAAGCUUGUGGGUCCUUUAUGAAUCUUUACUGCAUUAGGAAAAAAGAUAACAACCAUAGAUCUCUGCAAGACAGGACUUCCUCAACACCACACUCGCUGUGAAGCUGUAGCUGAAAACCCUUAAGAGUCUAAGAAGCCCUAUUGUUUAAGGAGAAUAUCUGUGAGGCAUGCUCCUAAGCUUUUUAGAGGACCUUUUAUGUGUAAGGUCUAUGAGGCACAGCCUUCGAUCUUUCUGAAGCCUUAACAAAGAGUUUCACAGUCAUGCCCUUGGCUUCAUCUUUAGAUCGUGUUUUCCUAAAAGCGCAUAGGCUUGAUCUCUGCUCUGAGAUCUUUUCUUAUUUUGAGAAUUUCCUGCUGGCUGUAGAGGCUGGGAAUAACAAUGAGUUUUAUUUUCAAACUCAGCAAACUUUGGCUCCUUUAUACUUAACCAUUCUGUUUUAAGCUUAUAUCUAUCCUAUAGGAUUUUAUCAUAGGCACCUGGAAGACUAGAAGCAGCAAGAUGGCACUUUUAAUAUUCUAACUGGAAAUCUCCACUAGAUCAUCAGGUUCAUUAAUUCUUGUUCCUACUUUCCACAUUACUGGAGGUGACACUAUUACCAAACUUUCUGCCACUACAUUAAAAGUGUCCCUUUUACUCUAGUUUGCAACAAUAUUCCCCUAGUUUCUUUGACCACUUAAUCACAACCUGCUUGAGGUUCUUUAAGCCUCUGAGAAACCUUUAAGUUUUUAUUAAAAGUCUCCCAAAUGCCCUUUCAGUUUCCAUGUGUAACUUGAUGUCAAACUCAGUGUCUCAUGUUUUAGGUUUUUGUUAUGGCAGCAUCCCAGUUCCAGUUUUCAAAAUCUGUUUGAGUUACCUAAUACUACAUAAAACCACCCCAGAAUUAAUGCCUCUAAAACAGCUAUUUAUUAUACUCAUAGAUUCUAUAGGUUAGGAGUUGGAAAGGGCACAUUAGAGGUAACUUUUCUCAUCCCAUGAUAUCUGCGACUCAGCUGGGAGUAUUGAAGGUGUGAAGGGACUCCAUGGCUGGGACUAGAACCAUCUGAAGCAGUGCUUUCCAGUGAAACUUUCUAUGAUGACAGAAAUAUUCUAUAUCUACAUGGCCCAAUUUAGUAGCCCUAGCUACAUAAGGCUAUUGGACAUGUGACUAGCAACACAUUACUUUAUUUUCAAUUCAAUUUAAAUUUAAAUAGUCAUAUGUGCCUAGCGGCUGCUAUCUUGGGCAUCACACAACUGAUGGCUUGUGUGCUAGUGCAUUUGGAAGUUGAUUCUGGCUGUCCUCCAGUUUCUAACCUAUAGGUGACCUCACUUUGUGUUCUCUCUCCUUCUUCAUAGCACAUUGAUAAGGUUCAAGAGCAAGCAUCUCAAAAGGAUCAGAGAAGGUUAUAUCACCUUUAUCACUUAACCUCAGAAAUCAGACAACACCAUGUCUUACUUAAUCACAGACCCCCUGAAAUUCACAAGUAGGAAACACAGAUCCCACUUUAACACCAUGUUUUACGUAGAGCAUUUGGCAUGGGAGAUCUUGUUGAGAUCAUCUUGGAAAAUACAUCUGCCAUACCACACAUCCUAGUAAAAGGGGAGGGUGUGUAUGGCUUAUCCUUACCAUUCUACUUUCCUAGAUUCUAAUUUUUAUUCCUUAAACCAUGUAGCUAAUUCAUAUAGGCUGUAUUAUUUUGUCAAUUUGGGGAUUCCUAGUAGACUUGAAAGUUAUUAAUUCAGCAGAAGUAAAAUAAACCUCUUUUCAUUAAAGUGAGCAGGUGUGUGUUUAUCUUGGGCAAAAGAAAUAUUUCAACAAUUUAGAGCAAAGGGAAAAUAUAGAUCAUAGAGCAUACAGGCUUCCCCAGAGGCCUACAUUCCUCUCAUAACUGUGCUCCUGAUCAAUGUUCAUAAUCAUGUGGGACAGAAAUCAGGAGAGCACCCGUAUCUCUUCACAGGAUACUUUCUCUCUUACCAACCAAGAGAUCAUGUUGUUAGUGUGUUACAUUUUUUAAAAAAUCAUUUUUUCUUCAUAUCACUGGAAAAAUAAACCAGGUCCUGGAUAUUGAAAUGUUCACAGUACCCAAGUGUCUAAUAAAUCAUAACAUAAGGGUUUAGAAGCAAUAGGAAAUCUUCUGAGAGGAUGAUCAGGCCAUGGCCUACCACCAUAUUACAUAAAAAAUGCAUUAUAUUGUAACCUGAUGAUACUUACCUGGCACAUAAGAAUCAAAAUAACUCCUUUCCUAUGAAUCCUUUUUAACAACGUAAGGCAUAUUUUUUACUCUUUCUUCUAUGCUGUAUGGUAAUUACAGAGCACUUGGUUCAUACUCAAUAUUUGGUUGUAACAUACAUAUUCUACUAUAUGGCACAUUUGUAAUUUUUUAUCUGACUUCCUAUUUGACAGUGAAAUCAUAAGACAAAGGGAUGGCAUCAUAUUUAAUGUAAAUCCCCAGAAUCCCCAAGGUGCCACAUUAGAGUAGAGUCACAAUAAAUCUGAAAUGAUCUGGUUGUAUUAAUGAAUAAGCAAGUAUAUUGCAAACUUACGUCUAUAGCAGAAUGAAAGAUACUGUUAAUAAUUGCUCUCAAAUUAUUUGUUCCUGAUAUAUAGUAAUACACAUUUACUUGAAUUGAAUUAUCAGGCAAUGCCUAUAGAAAGCUCCUUUAAAAGUUACAAAAACAUCUUAAAACAAUGACCAGGGCAUUAAAUCAACAUAUGUAUAUGAGAGGCUUUUACCUGGGGCUAUAAAAAUCCUGCAAAUAACAUUUUUUUCACAUAUAAAAUUAUCAAGCAGACCAUGGUUAAAUUAAUUAGGCUUUACCUAUCAGGGAGGCUUAUAACAUAAUGUUUUAUAAACUUGAGGAAAUAGGCAUGUAUUUAUUAUAUAUACAACUAUAAAAAAUGGUGGUGGUAUUUUUAGUAAUAAAAUACUUGGUAGAGAUAAAUAUAGCAAAAUAAAUUAUUGAUGAUACACAUUUUUAGUUAUUCUUAAAUUUUCUUUUAACUGAAAUUGCCUAUGCUAGAGAAUCAACAAUAUUGUAUUA
rnacentral:lncRNA from 10 species